rnacentral:rRNA from 1 species
GAAGACCAAGGGUUCCUGUCCAACGUUAAUCGGGGCAGGGUAAGUCGACCCCUAAGGCGAGGCCGAAAGGCGUAGUCGAUGGGAAACGGGUUAAUAUUCCCGUACUUCUUACAAUUGCGAUGGGGGGGACGGAGAAGGCUAGGUGGGCCUGGCGACGGUUGUCCAGGUUCAAGUGCGUAGGCUUAAGAGUUAGGUAAAUCCGGCUCUUUCUAAGGCUGAGACACGACGUCGAGCACCUACGGGUGUGAA